rnacentral:lncRNA from 1 species
UCAUACCAUAAAAAACGUUUCUUUUAAUUAUGGACCUUUUACACCAUCACUGGUGUCUAUGGUGUUGAUGCUCUAGACCCGAGAAACUUUAGACCACCUUUGGUGCUACAUGUCUAUGGUUGUUGAUGGCCUAGACCCAUCUUGCCAUGGUUCGUUUUGCUCGUAUUGGUCUCACUGUUAAUGUUAAUUAGCUCACUAAUUUCAAGUUUCAAGUUUACGACAUGUACUGGUCUUACUUUUCAUUGGAGUCUCUUACGGGUCUCAUUCUCCAUUGGAGCCCUGCGUCAUGUUGAUGUCACAAUUAUCUUCCAUUGGCUCCAUAUUGAUGUCACAGUUAUCUUCCAUUGGCUCCCUAGUUUUAAGAAAUCUCUAUUAUAGCCCUAUCUUCGCUCUCACAGGUCUCACUCUCCAUUGGAGCCUUGCCCCAUGUUGGUGUCACAGUUAUCCUCUAUUGGCUCCCUAGUUUCAAGUUUAAGAACUCUCUAUUGUAUCCCUACCUUGUGCUGGUGUCAUGCUCUAUUGGUCCAUGCCUUGUGCUGGUGUUACUGUUAUGCUCCAUUGGCUCGCUAGUUUCAAGUUUAAGAGUCGCACAUAGUAUAUCAUCAUAGAAUUCUGAUGUUAGAUUUUGAGCCCCUUCAAAAUCCUCCCAUACCAUCGUAGAAUUGUAGUGAUAGAUUUUUUGGCCGUUUAAAAUCUUCGGAUACCAUCAUAGAAAUGCGAUACCAGAUU